rnacentral:rRNA from 1 species
CUACGGGUCGCACCAGCUAUGAAUUUUUUACAAUGCACGAAAGUGUGAUAGAGCGAACCAAAGUGCUUAUCUUUUUGAUAAGCUUUUGCUUGCUGUAAAAAUGCAGGCGAAUAAGGACUGGGCAAGACCGGUGCCAGCCGCCGCGGUAAUACCGGCAGUUCUAGUUGCAACCAACAUUAUUGGGUCUAAAACAUCCGUAGCUUGUUUAACAAGUUCCUUGUGAAAUUUUACGUCUCAAGCGUGAAGCGAGCAAGGAAUACUGUUAUGCUAGAGACCGGCAGGCGUAAGAAGUACGCUCAAGGUAGUGGUUAAAUAUGUUAAUCUUGAGUGGACCCACAAUUAGCGAAGGCAUCUUACGAGGACGGAUCUGACAGUGAGGGAUGAAGGCCAGGGGCGCAAAACGGAUUAGAUACCCGCGUAGUC